AGGCACUGCAGACACAGCUGCUGCGGAAGGAGACAGUCAAAGCUUCCAAGGAAAGAAAUGGCCAAGAUUUGAGAGAAACCUGGCAGCGUCCCCAAGCCUGGCACGGGAUCGCCUCAGACGCACUCGGCUGCUCCGGAGGCGGAGCGCGAAGCAUCGGACCCGGCGGGCGGAGCCAGGCCAGCGGGGCGCAGCGCAACGCCUUCCGCCAGGGCGUCUGGCGCCACCUACCGACGACCAGGAAACUUUCCGCCGAGCGGCAGUUGCUGUGACCGCCUGGGCAUCAAAUGGCAAUUAAUUGGAACAGACUUGAUAAAUGAACUGUGGAAGGGAGCGCUGUGUUCAUGACUAGGUGCCUCCAUGGUCAUGCAUAGCAGACCAGAGCGCUUUCCCACCCACCUGCUUAUGCUGCCACAGUGAACACAAAUUUACAUACCUGGAAGAAACAAGACUUUCUGAAGCAUUUGCAAAAAAUGCAGGAAAUCUGUCUGUCGUGGCUAAAACACCCCCACUGCUCCGUUUGGCAUCGUUCUUGUUCAUAUUCGAAGCAUUGACAGUGUUUCCCCUGACUAGCUGUGGCAAUUAUCACACUGGUGGCAACUGAAAUGGCUUUUCUAAUUCUAGAACCCGGGUUCCAUGAAAUAGCAAAGAAGAAUCCCCCCUUUAAGGUAUAGAAAUGUUUAGCGUUUUUAGAAUAAAAAAAAUGGAAACU
rnacentral:lncRNA from 1 species